rnacentral:rRNA from 1 species
GCUGAAAGAUGGCCUCGCGUCUGAUUAGAUAGUUGGUGGGGUAACGGCCUACCAAGUCGACGAUCAGUAGCCGGUCUGAGAGGAUGAACGGCCACAUUGGGACUGAGAUACGGCCCAGACUCCUACGGGAGGCAGCAGUGGGGAAUAUUGGGCAAUGGGGGAAACCCUGACCCAGCAACGCCGCGUGAAGGAAGAAGGCCUUCGGGUUGUAAACUUCUUUUACCAGGGACGAAGGACGUGACGGUACCUGGAGAAAAAGCAACGGCUAACUACGUGCCAGCAGCCGCGGUAAUACGUAGGUUGCAAGCGUUGUCCGGAUUUACUGGGUGUAAAGGGCGUGUAGGCGGAGGAGCAAGUCAGAUGUGAAAUCCAUGGGCUUAACCCAUGAACUGCAUUUGAAACUGUUUCCCUUGAGUAUCGGAGAGGCAAGCGGAAUUCCUAGUGUAGCGGUGAAAUGCGUAGAUAUUAGGAGGAACACCAGUGGCGAAGGCGGCUUGCUGGACGACAACUGACGCUGAGGCGCGAAAGCGUGGGGAGCAAACAGGAUUAGAUACCCUGGUAGUCCACGCUGUAAAACGAUGAAUACUAGGUGUGGGAGGACUGACCCCUUCCGUGCCGCAGUUA